ACUGGCAGCUAGCGCUGUUAUGACUUGAACGCUCGCAAGCCCAACCAGUUACGAUUCAACUUUCAUUCCGUGCUGACGUAUCCGGGCGUGUUGAGUGUGCGCAGCGAGCGCUUUUUGUAUGAGACACAACGGGGCAAGUGAAGUGAAAAAAUUUACCAACAAUAAAAUCAAAUAAAUGUACGAAUAAUUAAUUGUUGUGAAAAAUACAGGCACUUGUGUUAAAAUAAUCGAAAAAACGGCAGACAACAAUAGCAACAACAACAACAAGUGUGGAUUAUCAAAUAGCAGCGAAUAAAUUAAUUACGCGCGCGAUCACACACGAUCGUUUAAAGUGAGCUGGUGAAUGGCUGAAAAUGUGAAGCCGAGCGCCAAAAGUCAAACUGCAAUAGCAACAGCAACAACAACAAUCGCUUGUUGCUCACAUAAUCAACGACAGCGACUAAAGUUUUAGUUGGUCAAGCAGCCAGAAACAGGAGACAAAUAUAAAACAAAAAAAAAAACAAAAACAACAACAUAUAAGAAAAAAAUUAAAAUUGAAAACAACAACAACAACAAAACGCAUUAACGAAAAUAACGAGUGUAACAGCAUUUAAUAGCGGCAAGCGAUUUGCCAACGAAACGUGCAACGCAGACGAAUAACGAAAAUCGCCGCGACAAUAACAACAACAACAGCAACGGCUGCAUAUAAGUGGGCACAAGCAACAAAACAAACAAAAAUAUGUUUAUGUAUGUGUUGGCGGAGCGACUUUAAGUUAUUUGCACUAGUAUUCGCGCGUUGCAGCGGCGCCAGCUCAAAAAAUAAACAACAAAAAACGCAAAAAAACCAAAAACUUAAAAUAAAAAAAUUAACAAUU
rnacentral:lncRNA from 1 species